GUGGGGAAUAUUGGACAAUGGGCGAAAGCCUGAUCCAGCCAUGCCGCGUGUGUGAAGAAGGUCUUCGGAUUGUAAAGCACUUUAAGUUGGGAGGAAGGGCAGUAAGUUAAUACCUUGCUGUUUUGACGUUACCGACAGAAUAAGCACCGGCUAACUUCGUGCCAGCAGCCGCGGUAAUACGAAGGGUGCAAGCGUUAAUCGGAAUUACUGGGCGUAAAGCGCGCAUAGGUGGUUUUGUAAGUUGGAGGUGAAAUCCCCGGGCUCAACCUGGGAACUGCCUCAAAAACUGCAUGACUAGAGUACGGUAGAGGGUAGUGGAAUUUCCUGUGUAGCGGUGAAAUGCGUAGAUAUAGGAAGGAACACCAGUGGCGAAGGCGACUACCUGGACUGAUACUGACACUGAGGUGCGAAAGCGUGGGGAGCAAACAGGAUUAGAUACCCGGGUAGUCC
rnacentral:rRNA from 1 species